UACGUAGGGUGCAGGCGUUAAUCGGAAUUACUGGGCGUAAAGCGUGUGCAGGCGGUCUGCUAAGACAGGUGUGAAAUCCCCGGGCUUAACCUGGGAACUGCGCUUGUUACUGGCAGGCUGGAGUGUGGCAGAGGGGGGUGGAAUUCCACGUGUAGCAGUGAAAUGCGUAGAGAUGUGGAGGAACACCGAUGGCGAAGGCAGCCCCCUGGGCUAACACUGACGCUCAUGCACGAAAGCGUGGGGAGCAAACAGG
rnacentral:rRNA from 1 species